rnacentral:rRNA from 1 species
AUGGUACUGCUGCCAACCGGGGAGCUGCGGGAGUACCCGCGCCCUGCCACAGCGGCGGAGGCGCUCGAGGACAACUCCGUGGCUGGGGACGCCGGGUGGUUCCUGUGCGACGCCGACGCGAUGGGCUUCGAGGGCCCCGUGGCCGCAGUCGCCGGGGCCGAGGAGCUCCGCCCGGGGCAGAUCUACUUCGUGCUCCCCGCCGAGGCCCGUAAGAACGGGCUACGGCGCGAGGACCUCGCCGCGCUCGCCGUCAGGGCGUCCGCGGCGCUCGUCGGUAAGGCCAACGCCAACGCCUCCGGCAGCGGCGGACGGAGGAGGCGCGCCGGCUCUGUUUCGCCGCUCGUGUUCGCCCCGCCGCCGGAGGUGGACGGGACCCUCGCGUACAAGACCGUGCAGGCGCUGGCGGCGAAGAGGCGGCCGGUGGCGCGCGCGAAGAGCGCCGGGAGGAUGCAGCCGCGCUUCUCACCUGACCUGACCGCCAUUCCCGAGUGCGAGUGA